rnacentral:rRNA from 1 species
ACCCGUCUUGAAACACGGACCAAGAAGUCUAUCUUGCGCGCAAGCCAAUGGGUGCUCGGGCCGUGCCUCCGGGGGCGGCUGGUAUUACUUUAAACCCACACGCUGAAGACAACUCGAUGAGUUAUCGCGGGAUUACGGGUUCGGCACCGGCGCAAGCCAUCGCCGUUCCCCUCCAUCCCGGGGUGUCCCGGCUAGGGGUGCUUGCACCCCGAGGGCAUCCCUUGAGUGCGUAUGAUGUGACCCGAAAGAUGGUGAACUAUGCCUGAUCAGGUCGAAGUCAGGGGAAACCCUGAUGGAGGACCGAAGCAAUUCUGACGUGCAAAUCGAUUGUCAGAGUUGGGCAUAGGGGCGAAAGACCAAUCGAACCAUCUAGUAGCUGGUUCCUUCCG